rnacentral:rRNA from 1 species
AGAGUUUGAUCAUGGCUCAGAAUCAACGCUGGCGGCGUGCCUAACACAUGCAAGUCGAACGAGAAAGUGGAGCAAUCCAUGAGUACAGUGGCGACCGGGUGAGUAACACGUGACCAACCUGCCCUCGAGUGGGGAACAACAGCGGGAAACCGCUGCUAAUACCGCAUAAUAUCCUCGGACCGGAAGGACUGGGGAUCAAA